rnacentral:rRNA from 1 species
CGCACGCCGCUACAAACUCAAAGGAAGUUGACGGGGCCGCACAAGCGAGGAGCAUGUGGUUAAUUCGAUGAUACGCGAGGAACCUUACCUGGGCUCGAACGUAAGAUGACUGUAGGUGAAAGCUUACAUCUCUUCGGAGCAUUUUACGAGGUGCUGCAUGGUUGUCGUCAGCUCGUGCCGUGAGGUGUCGGGUUAAGUCCCAUAACGAGCGCAACCCCUACCUUUAGUUGCCAUCAGGUAAUGCUGGGGACUCUAAAGGAACUGCCUACGCAAGUAGUGAGGAAGGCGGGGAUGACGUCAAAUCAGCACGGCCCUUACGUCCAGGGCUACACACGUGCUACAAUGGCCGAUACAGAGGGCAGCUACCUGGUGACAGGAUGCAAAUCUCCAAAGUCGGUCUCAGUUCGGAUCGGAGUCUGCAACCCGACUCCGUGAAGUUGGAUUCGCUAGUAAGUCGCGCAUCAGCCAUGGCGCGGUGAAUACGUUCCCGGGCCUU